GACGUAGGAGGCGAGCGUUAUCCGGAUUCACUGGGCGUAAAGCGCAUGUAGGCGGUUGGAUAAGUCCGUUGUUAAAGCCCCUGGCUCAACUGGGGAGGGUCAUUCGAUACUGAUCGACUCGAAGGCAGGAGAGGGUAGUGGAAUUCCCGGUGUAGUGGUGAAAUGCGUAGAUAUCGGGAGGAACACCAGUGGCGAAGGCGACUACCUGGCCUGGUUCUGACGCUGAGGCGCGAAAGCUAGGGGAAGCCAAACGGGGAGUUAAGAAACCCCGAUGA
rnacentral:rRNA from 1 species